rnacentral:lncRNA from 1 species
AUGCUUCCUGUGCCAGCAAUAAGCACAGAAACCCUAGUACUAAAAUAAACAUUCAUGCCUCUUCUAGUGGAACUCAGUCUAGUGGAGGAGAGCAAUUUAACCAAAUGGCCAUGUUAAUAAAUGUUUACUACUGGGUUUGGUGGAACACGCUAGUGAUCUCAGCACUUAGGAAGCUGAGGCAGGAGCAUGAAGAGGCCAACCUGGGCCACAAAGCAAGACCCUGUCUCAAAAUAUAACAAAAUAGUAUUUAUUGUAACUAUCCCUUUCUCCAAUGAGGGUAACAUUUCUAACUAACUUACUAGAAAAAGACAAUGGGCAUAUAUAUUAUAUCUAUACAUAUUUUACUUUUUACUUAAAACACAUAAACAUCUACUUGCCAAAUUUGAUCCAGCUAAGAUGCCUUUUCUAAGGACUGGUCUGGUAACUGAAGUGUCACCUCAUCUUUCUUGUAUAAAGCCCACUCAAAAUUAUACAUGUUGUGUACAAUUUUCAGUGUCAGCUACUUUAGAAUGGAAGACAUGGAGACACUGGUGAGGAGGUUCCAGCAGCAGCGGUCCAGAAAACAUUCAUGAGAAGGGAUCCAGGGACUGGCUCACUUAUUGCCUUGUUGACAAGAAGAAUUACAUCCUGAAAGGAAUAUGGGAUAGGUCUGCUCUGCAGCCCAAUUGACAAAGAAUUUACCUGUGAUGACAAGUGGAAAAUGUCUAGGUGGAGAAUAACAUCUUUACCAGUUUGAUCAUUCAGGUAUUUGUAAGCUAUGGGAAUAAUAUCUAUAAAAACCACAAGGUUGUCUGGUUAUUACUAGAUUAGUUGUAUUGAUGCUUCUGGGGAUGGAGUGAGGAAUACUUCAAUAAACAACAACAAUAACAACAAAAGAACAACACUCAGCUUAACCAUCAGUGAAAAGCCUGUGAGAGACAGAAGCCACAGUACCAGAUGGAGAGGUCCUCAUCCUGCCCUCAAUACCUGAUGGAGAGGUCUUCAUUCCUGCCCUCAGUACCCCAUGGGGUGGUCCUCAUCCUGCCCUCAAUACCCAUGGAGAGAUCCUCAUCCUUCCCUCAGUAUCCAAUGGAGAGAUCCUCAUCCUGCCCUCAGUACCCCAUGGAGAGGUCUUCAUCCUCUGUAGUUGAAGAUAAGACACAGAUGGGAAGCAGCCCAGUAUAAUAGGAUUUCAGAAUUUGGGGUACAAGUAAGUGCUUAGCAAAGGUAAGCAUAUUACACUGAUUUCACUGAGUGGGAACCACAGGGCCUCUGAGAUUUGGGAUAGAAUUGUAUCCAUGGAUAUUCUGAGUACUGUGUCUCUGCUGGAAUCUUCACAGUGAAGGAAAUGUGGGAAUGCGUCUAUGACCAUGUGGUCCAGCAGUCAUGUUACAAAUUAUUUCAUCUAGAAGAAAUUGGUUUCAUGCAGUUAGAAGCUGUCUGAAGUGCUGGAUUGGUAAUUAUAUUGCAAAAUAAACCAGAGACAUUAUACGGCACUAGGUCUCCAGGGAAGCAACCUGAAGUCAAUGUCCCCACUGGCCAUCUUUCUCAAUGACCCCUUGGGGAAGCCCUGCUUCCACAUCUUUGUGAUUAUGGACCUUGCAAGGUUGAGGUCCUUGUCCCCAAAAGUGUAUUCUUGCCAGAGGAUCUGAACAAACUAUGUUAUUAUUGCUUGUGACACUUUGAAGUCUCCUUGUUUAGAAAGUAGGCAGGAAAGAAAUCAUCAUCUUGGAAAGGACAAUGGUCCCUCAUCAUCAGGUGACUGCUUUGAUGCUGAGAGGGAAAGAAGGGAUACCUGUGAAAUCAAAUUUCUUCUGUGCCUCUUCACAUUUAUUGUUUAAUUAUGACCAUAAGCAGAUACCCACAGAAACUCUGGCUGACAAGAGUGUGGUUACCAGCAGCUGCCUCUGAGCAAGCUUGGUUCAUAUAAUCAGGAAGGCCACUGAGACCAGCCCAUGUGCCAGUUGAAUGAGGAAGGCUAGAGAAAGAAUGGAGGAGGGACACGAUGGGAGUAGCUGUAGAUUCAAGUUCAAAUGCAGCCACACAACUGUAGUUCUUCCUAUUGCCUGCCUUCUUCUAUGUUCUCACUCCGCACCCCCAGAGAAAAAGACCAAUGGUCCAUGGAAGGGCCAGUUCAGCAUAAAGAGCUGUCACAGAGCUUCAUUUUGGUCUGCACUGUUUGUUGUCACAGUUUUAUGUCUAUAUCAUAGUUGCUAUCAUCUUUCAACAUCUUCUCAGAGUUCUUAUAUAUGCUUCAGCUAUUUUUACUUCUCCUGUAACUUUUAUAAAUGUUGACACAUAUUAAAGGUUCAGAACCAUGUACAAUUACCAGGACACUUAACUGUAGUUCCUUAAAUUCAAGAGGUGUUUGUGUAACCAUACACAUUGCAGAAAGUAGGAAUCCAAGUUUCAGAAGAGUAAGUAAAUAAUAAAAAGCUAAUAUCACUCUUAAAAAUAGUCACUACCUAUCUCUUUCUGUCAGUAUUGACAAGUAAAUGGGUUGGUGUAUAAUGUCAGUAGUUAAGAGAAGUUGUUCUCAACCUGGGGGUCACAUAUCAGAUAUCCUACAUAUCAGAUAUUUAUAGUACAAUUCAUAACAGUAGCAGAACUACAGUUAUGAAAUAGCAAUGAAAUAAUCUUAUGGCAGGAGACACCAUAACAUGAGAAACUAUAUUAAAGGGUUGCAGCAUUAGGAAGGUUGAGAACCACUGAGUCAGCAUACACAAAACUGGAACUUGGUGGCAUUUGUUAUAUAGGAGUGACAAUUUUUAUUUAUAUAGGUUCCUCAAAGUUGGUUUUAAAAAAUGGAUCAUUUGAGAUGCACUGAAAACUCUUGAGUUAAUUAAGGCAAGCAUCAUUUUUAUCCUGCCAAAUAUUGAAGCUCAAAUAAACUUGGUAAUUUGUCUAAAUCACAAACUACAAAUGUUAGCUAGAGUUGGUUUUUGAACCCUGGGUCAUCUGAUCUCAAAGUCUAUUCCCUUCCCAAUAAUGUAAGUAUCUUCCUUCCGAUGGCUAAUUUUGGUUGUCAGUUAGACCACAUCUUGUAUCAACUAAAACUCAAGCAUUGGCGCAUGACUAUGAGGAUUUUUCUUGACUGGAUAAUUUGAGGUGAGAAGACCCAUCCUAAAUCAGGGCUACAAUUUCUUGUGGCAGCCCCACAUUAAAGGACAUAGAAGAAGGAAGCUUUUGAUUUUUGCCUUCUUGCUCUCACUCUCAGUGGCAAAUUCAUCUAUCCUGUUGCGAAGGUAUUCCUUUUCUGGUAUUAGAACUUUCUUCUUCAGGAUUCGAGUGUAGACUGAAGACGAGCUGGGAGACCCAGUCUGGUAGACUGAACAAUUGCUGGAUUACUAGUCUUUCCUCUGAGAGACAGACAUUGUUAGACUGGCUAGACCACAGCCUGUAAGGCACUCUAAAAAUGCCCUUUUAAUAUGUCUUCCACCAGUUCUGUUCCUUUAUAGAACCCCGACUGUCUCUCUUAGGGUCCUCCUUGUUUCCUAGCUUCUCUGGCAGUGUGGAUUGUAGGCUGCUACUCCUUUGCUCUAUGUCUAAAAUCCAUAUACGAGUGAGUACAUACCAUGUUUGCCUUUUUGUGACUGGGUUAUCUCACUCAGGAUGGUUUCAUCUAGUUCCAUCCAUUUUACUGCAAAUUUAAAGAUUACUUUUUUUUUUGCUCUGUUGAGUAGUAUUCCCUUGUAUAAAUGUACCACAUUUUCUCCAUUCAUUCUUCAGUUGAGGGGCAUCUAGGUUGCUUUCAGAUUCUGGCUAUUACAAAUAAUGCUAUGAACAUGGUUGAACAGAUGUCCUUGUUGUAUGAAUGUGCAUCUUUUGGGUAUAUGCCCAAGAGUGGAAAUUGCUGGAUCUUGUGGUAGACUAAUUCCCAUUUUCCUGAGGAACUGACAUACUGAUUUCCAAAAUGGCUGUAUGAGUUGGCACUCCCACCAGAAGUGGAGGAAUGAUCUGCUUUCUCCACAUCCUCUCCAGCAUAAACUGUCAUUGGUGUUUUUUAUUUUGGCCAUUCUGACAGGAGUAAGAUGGUAUCUCAGAGUUGUUUUGAUUUGCAUUUCCCUGAUGGCUAAGGAUGUUGAGCACUUUCUUAAGUGUCUUUGAGCCAUUUUAGAUUCCUCUAUUGAGAAUUUUCUAUUUAGUUUUGUACCCCACUUUUUAAUUGGGUUAUUUGGUGUUUUGGAGAUUAGCCUCUUGAGUUCUUUGUAUAUUUUGGAGAUCAGCCUUUUGUCAGAUGUGGGGCUGGUGAAUAUUUUUUCCCAUUCUGUGGGCUGCCAUUUUCUCUUGUUAACUGUACCCUUUGCCUUACAGAAGCUUCUCAGUUUCAGAAGGUCCCAGUCCCCUGGAGAAGGGGAAAGGGACAAGAUCUCCUGAGCCAACUGGGAGCAUGGGGGAGGAGAGAGGGAAUUAGGAGAAAAAGAAGGGGUGAAGAAGAGGGGAGAGGAGGACAUGAGAGAGCAGGAAGAUCGAGUGAGAGGAAUAAUAGAGGAGAGCAAGAAAAGAGAUACCAUAAUAGAGGGAGUCAUUAUAGGUUUAAAGAGAAAUCUGGUACUAGGGAAAUGUCCAGAAAUCUACAAGGUUGACCCCAACUAACAAUCUAAGCAAUAGUCGAGAGGCUACCUUAAAUGACCUUCUCUGACAAUGAGAUUGAUGACUACCUUAUAUGCCAUCCGGGAGCCUUCAUUCAGUAGCUGAUGGAAACAGAAGCAUAUACCCACAGCUAACCACUGAGCUGUGGAAUCCAGUUGCAGAGAGGGAGGAGUGAUGAGCAAAGGGGCCAAGACCAGCCUGGAGAGACCCACAGAAACAGCUGACCUGAAUAAGGGGGAGCUCAUGGAUCCCAGACUGAUACCUGGGAAUCCAGCAUAGGACUGUUCCAGACCCCCUGAAUGAGGCUGUCAGUUUGGAGGUCAGGUUAAUGGACUUGGGAGCCCACUCCACAUAGAGGGAUACACUCAUCUUCAGAGUCAGGUCCAUGGUGUUUUUCAGAUAAAACAUAUAGCAAAGUCAGAAGAAGAAAGGCCAGUUCUUGUACUUCUAAUUAUCAAUGACUGUCCAUUCAUUGAGAAAAUUACAGCAUGCUUGUGACCUUUCCCAGAAUAAGAAACCUUCAUUAGAGACCCCAUCAUGUUGGUGUUUCUUACUUCAAAAUAUCCUUAAUUAUCUAAAAGAUGAAAAAAUAUAUAUGGGACACAGAAAGAAGCAAACAGCAUUAAUUUUCAAAUCAACAUUCCAAAGGAAAAAGAACGAUUUCUCCACACCUCUGGGCUUAUACUCUGUGAUAUGCAGCGGACCAGUGCUCAGACUCAUGCUGUUUUUCUGAAGCCCCUUUAUUUAUUUUUCAUUAAUCUGUUUCCCUUGUGUGCCUGGAACUCAGUAAUCUGCUCAUCUCUAGCAUGAUCUAUACUAUAAUCCAUCGUUUCUCUCUUCAUGCAUUUUAAUGAAGCAAUUUUUGCCUCCUUUACAUAACGGCUGUCCUGAUUUCAAACUACAACAUAACCAUUUAUUGUCACAUCACUGAAAGCAAAUCUUUAAAAGGAAUACGUCACAACAGGAUAGAUAAGGAUUUUUCACUCUUUUAAUUUUUCUUUUUUGGAAGAGGCCUUUGUGAACUCAGUAGCAUUUUUAUCAUUUAAUUUUCAGUAGCUGCUCAGGCUUGGAAAUAGAUAUCCCUGUGAGACACCAACCCAAGUGGGACAAAUGCUGGUGGCAGUCAGAGUCCUUUGUCCCCUCCAGGUCUCAUCUGUUGACAGGAUGCUUUGAAUUGUUGUACUCCCCGAACUGCUCUUGCAGGUUGGUUAUGUCCUCAAAGAGCGAUAGAACAGCUGUGCAGGAAGUGGCUGCUCAGUGUUGCCAUUUUGUGUCUGGCAUUGUCUUCCCCCUGUGUUUAUUUGGUCAUUGUCCCGGACUUGGGCUGUUUGUACCAUUCUGCUUACCAGUUGUUGCACAUUCAGGUCUGUGUUUAUCUGACUGCUUUCUGACCUUUGGUAUCUGUGUGAUAUCUGACCCACCAUGGUGCUCUUUUUCCAGGAAUACUAGAUAAUGUCCUCCUGGCUAUUCUUGGGAACCAGGUUACCUUGGUGUGUCCCCGAUUUCACAGCUUGCUGUGCCCUGCACCACUGUUGGACUUUUCAAUUCUUGCACACCUUGUGGUAGAUUUAUCUUUCAUUCAUUAUUUCAUUCUUUCAAUAAUCAGCUAUUAAACACCUAUGUAUAUAGUUGUCAGAAAGAAAAAUAAGAUAAAUAUUCUUCCCAGUCACAAAAUCAUUGAUUAGAAGAUGAAAAGAUCUAAAAGGGAGACAGAGAGGAGUUUUGAAAGGCUCUUCCACACAUUUGGGGUCCCCCACUAAGAAAAAAUUUGCAGUAGUAUGGAGAGACAUUUAGGCAAGGAUUUUGGAAGGGGUUGCUGUAGAGGUGGUCCUAAGCUUCAUUAGCUUCUCUUGUGAGGCUAUGUAGUUUUCAAGAAGUGCCAAGUCAUGGAGUGAAAAUAUGAAGAGAAUAUUAUGAAGGCAUGCAGGAAAGGCAAGUAAAUACUCUUGGUGUCAAGGAUGGCUUUUUGGAAGAAGUUGGCCCUGAUCUGCUUCAAAACCUAACUUCUAUUUAAGUAGAUGAUGGAGAUAGGAAAGAGGGUGGCAGUAGGCAAAGUGUUUUGAACAUAGAGUUUUACAUAUGGGCAUCAGCCACAAUAGGAAGGCUUGAGUGCUGCCAGCAGCUGUAUUUAUUUGGAAUAGAGGAGCCAUAAGUGAUAUUGGAGAAAGAAAUGGAGAUCAAACCACUGGGAAGUUUGGUGCCACAAUAUAGAGCUUAGAUUUCAUCUUGGAUAAACCACCUUGGUGGAAAAUGUGUGUGUGUGUGUGUGUGUGUGUGUGUGUGUGUGUGUGUGUGUGUGUGUGUGUAUUUCAGUUAGGAGCUGCAGCAGUCAGAGAAGCAGGAGAUGGACAAGUUGUGAACUAAAGACAUUACAGCAGGAAGGAGUGAAGAUUAAAUGUAGGGUUGAGGAAGACUAGAGAAUAAACUCCUGGAUUUCUACCUUGGGUGUCAAAGAAAUAUCACAUGUAGAAGAGCAGGUAGGGGAGGGGGCUGAUCUGGGGGGAGAUUGUGUAUUUAGUUGUAAGAAAACUUGGCUUCCAGAAAAAAUGGCAUCCAAGUCUGAAGUUAGGGAAGAGUCUAACAGGAAGUAAACACUGGGAAAACAUGGGCACCUAGGGAACAGGUAGAAGCAAGGGGAAGAACCAGAUAACGGGGGAGGUGUGGAGAAAAGUACAGAAAGCCAGAGAGGGAGCUCUGGAAGAUGUCAGAACAAAUCACAAGAGGGACUGAGGAAGCUGCAGAGUCCGGUACCAACACAGAGGAAACUGUUUUAACAUGGUGAAGGCUGAGUCCUGCAAUAAAAAGAAUGAAACAUGUUCUUUGGGGUUUUCAGCAGGAUGCAAGUGGAGACCAGGAUGAGAAUAUGUGGACAGCUGUGAUGAGAGCAAGCCUGUUCCCAAAGGUUGAGCAAGCAGGUGUAUGGCACGGGAGGAAUGGUUGUAUGGAGACUUUUAAAUGAUGGAGAUCUGAAAGUAGUGAGCAUUAGCUAUGGUGAUUAGGGUUCUCAACCUUCCUAAUUCUGUGAUCCUUCAGUACAAUUCCUCAUGUUGUGCUGACCCUCAACAGUAAUUCUAUUGCUGCUUCCUAACUGUAAUUUUGCUACUGUUUGAGUCAUAUUGUAAAUAUCUGUUUUCCAUUGGUUGACCCCUGUGAAAGGGUUGUUUGACUCCCAAAGGGGUCAAGACCCAGGUAGACAACUACUGAUCUAAAUGAUAUUACUUUAAAGAUAGGACAUAAUUAAGCAUUUUUAUAGUCUAAGAGGUUAAAUGUUCAGAAGAUGGGAUGGGGAAAAUGGGUUGGGAAAAUGUCCCAACCAUGUGAUGUGGUUUGGGUCUUAAAUGUGCCCCAAGGCUCAUAUAGUAAAGAUGACUAGCUUGUAGUGCUUUUGGUGAUGGUGAAGGAAGCUUCAGGAGAUGAAGCCUAGAACUCUCUACCCAAGUGAGAUGAGUGCCAGGUGACAUUGAACUGGAACAUCUGAAACCAUGAGCCUUUAAAAAAUUUAAAUGACAUUGUAUUUAUUUAUUUUGUCUGUCUAUCUGUGCAGGUGUUUGCCUGCACGAUGGCAGAUGUGCAUACCUGUUAGGGGACAAUUUGUGGGAGUUGGUUCUCUCCUUCUAUCCUGUGGAUUCCAAGGAUCAGACUCACGUCACCAGGCUUGGAGAAAUAUACGAAAUCAUUCAUAUGGAGAGGCCAUCAGACAAUCUGACACAAGUCUGGGAAAUGGAAUGACAGAGACAUCAGGGCAGGCAAGUUGAUUUAGCUUGCUGUCAGGCCUCAUGACCUGAAUUAGAUCACUAGACACGCAUCAUGGAAGAAGAAAACUGAUUCCCACAAGUUACUCUCUGACCUCUACACUGGUGCAAUGACAGGCGUGUACAUGCACAGGCAUUCAUAACAAUAAGUUUCUUCUUAUAACUGCCUUAAAUCUUCAACCAAGGUUCUGGAAACUCCUUAAGCAGAAGACAAACAAUUCAGAAUAACUUCAGGAAGUCCUUGAAACUGACCAGAUUUACUAGGCCCCUCCCUGCCAUUAAAGCUGAGAGUCCCUUUCAGAAGAUCUGAGUCAUGCAGCAAAGAAGACUGGCACCACCCAAGCCCCAUAGCUGAGCUGCAAAGACUCUGAGACCAGACCGGCUGUCUGCAAGAAACAGAAACCAGUGGAGCUGCAUGGAAGAGGUUGAGACUGAAGCACCUGGAAAGGACACUCUCCGACCCGUUGAACUACCUGAAGGCUGUGCAAUGUGCUCUAGGUUCCCAACUUUGUGAGUUGUCACUUGUGCUAGAGUGAGCUUCAGUGAUGCAGCUGUCUUUGGGUCAUUACUGUUCCUUUAAAUAACCCUUCACCCAUAUUCCUGUAAGUAACCUCAAUAAAACACAUUAAUUUGCCAAA